GUAUCCAACCUGCCGUCUACUCUUGGACAGCCUUCUGAAAGGAAGAUUAAUACAAGAUGGCAUCAUGAGUCCGCAUGUUCACAUGAUUAAAGGUAUUCCGGUAGACGAUGGGGAUGCGUUCCAUUAGAUAGUAGGCGGGGUAACGGCCCACCUAGUCUUCGAUGGAUAGGGGUUCUGAGAGGAAGGUCCCCCACAUUGGAACUGAGACACGGUCCAAACUCCUACGGGAGGCAGCAGUGAGGAAUAUUGGUCAAUGGGCGCAGGCCUGAACCAGCCAAGUAGCGUGAAGGAUGACUGCCCUAUGGGUUGUAAACUUCUUUUAUAAAGGAAUAAAGUCGGGUAUGUAUACCCGUUUGCAUGUACUUUAUGAAUAAGGAUCGGCUAACUCCGUGCCAGCAGCCGCGGUAAUACGGAGGAUCCGAGCGUUAUCCGGAUUUAUUGGGUUUAAAGGGAGCGUAGAUGGAUGUUUAAGUCAGUUGUGAAAGUUUGCGGCUCAACCGUAAAAUUGCAGUUGAUACUGGAUAUCUUGAGUGCAGUUGAGGCAGGCGGAAUUCGUGGUGUAGCGGUGAAUGCUUAGAUAUCACGAAGAACUCCGAUUGCGAAGGCAGCCU
rnacentral:rRNA from 1 species